GGUUUGGGUCUCUUGGCAUGUGGA
rnacentral:siRNA from 1 species